GGGUGUUGGGGAUGUUUGUGGUGCUAAUGUUCAUCCCAAUUUAUGAGCACAUUAUAUGGGGCCUUGCUAUAGCUAGGGAGCUAUUUGAAGCCAAAAUCGGGAAGCUUGUUGAACUCGGGUUCAGUAGAGAUGCAGUUAUACAAGCUUUGAAGCUUUUUGAUGGUAAUGAAGAACGAGCAGCUGGAUAUCUUCUACCUCUGGAAAAGCGCGUGAAUCUGCUGUUUUUGUUUUGAUAUUUGCUGGUGCUGCAUUUUGGAUUAAUAUGCCAUUGGUCGUUUACACCUAAAUUGUGCAAUGCAUGAAGUAGCUACCGCUGAAACUUAGGAUAUGAUAGUUUAUACAGUUUGUUUUUGGCCAUUUAUCUUUGAUUCUUUAUCUACUUCACUUCAUUUCUGUGUUCUUUGAUUUUCAGGAUCCUUGCCACCAUUGGCCCAACUAAGUUAUUAUGGAUACUUUUGAUUCUGAGCUUGAAUUGACAAACAUUUGUUUAUCCUAAAGGUUGUUCCAAAAUUUGAUUUGGACAUUAACUAAGAUGAUGUGGAAGGCGGGUGUUCCAGCUAUGGACAGAUCAAGCAUAUAUAUGUUGACAAGUAUGUGUGUAAGUUCUUUAUCUCAGUCUACUAGAAUGAGCAUGUGUUAGAUGUGCAAAUUACCAUAACAUGGGUUUACAAGUAGCAUGAAUAAAACAAUUGGAGGAUCAUACAACAUCAGAAUUGGCCACAAGUUACAAGUUUACUCCCCACCACAACAGCAGUAAUGUGCCACGAACCCAUGAAUGCAAAUUUGCAGCACUUUUAGGUCUAAAACAAUGAGUAUGCGGACUUGAAGAAAACAGUCUGGAAAUAGUUCUUAGUUUAUGUGUAAAGUCAUUUUCAUUUGCAAGUUUUGUAGAUAGGUUAGUAUUGGUAUUUAAAUUGAAUACUUAUGUAUGGAUUUUGGGUUAUUAUUAUUAAUAGCAUUUGGUUUUUAGUUU